AGUGUGUACACGUCUGUCGCGAGUGUAAGCCCCUUCACGCGUAACAUCGAACUCGAACAUAUUCCGAGUUGCAUAUUUUUCCUGGGCAAACUUUAUGCGACGCCUGCCGCGCGUACGUCGCAUCGAAUUUUGACGCGAGAAGAUUCGAGCCUUGCCGUUGUAUUUUAACCGGAUUACCCUAUUGCCGUUUCGCGUCGAAAAUUUCACGCGUGUAUCACUCGCGGUCUUAUGCGUCGUAACGUUGUUGCAUUAUCGUUCAACGCGUUAAGGAGCAAACGUUUCAACGAAUACUGCACUGUGGAAGAUAGUAGAUGGAUAGAAAUGUAAAAUUUUUGACUUGAGUGCAAGGAAUAGUUAUGUGCGAUAAAAAUGGGCUUGAUGGCACUCUUGCUUUGUUUACGACGAUCUCACGGAUGAACUUCCAGAAAUAAUAAACUCGUAGAGAAUGUCGAACUGUAUCUGAUCCGAGUUUUCUUUAAGUUAUUCGAUAUAUUCUGUGUGGCUUCUUUGUUUGUUGUUAUAAAAAGGCCCGUUAAGAUUGACUGCCACAUGGAUAGUUAACAAAGUCGGAACUCCUGCGAUGCUGGUUAAUUGAAGGGAACACAGUAGUUGGCCGAUAGCACGGCUAGUAACCGUCCAAGUUACGAAGCGAAAUGUUUCGCCGGCAUGCGCACUAUCUAUCGUGUAAACCGUUACAUCGUUAGGUUCGAACGCUGCUUUGAAACACCGAGCCAGGCACAUUUGAGGAUCAGCAGCGUUCCUUCACGAAAUAUCCAGAAUCAUCCCUCUAAAGCACGCAAUGCUUGCUCGACGGUUGAAAUAUUAGGGUGACGAGGGGAUUUCUCAGUGGAAACUUUUCCUUGGGGAAGUCAGGCCUCUUGUUAUUCUUUCUGUGAGUGCCUGAAUCAUCGCCAGCUUUCCGGCUUUCGUCGAAAGUUAAUCUCGUCGCAGAUUUUUCGCGUUGUGUUGGCACUCUGUGCUCUGGACGGAUUAAGAAUAUUAUCGAUACAUUACUUGUGAUAGCGAUACUUCCUAUUCUUAUAGGAAACCACGAGUUUUCUUAAGUAUUAUUAUUGUCCAAUUCUGUACAAAUAAUAUUUUCGAUUUGUUAAUUUGAUAUUAAUUUAAAAUAAUAUCAAUUUUUAAGAUUCGUUAGAUAUUUAUUAUAAUAUCAAGUGUCUCUAGUAUCAAAGUAUUCAAGUAUAUAGACUAUAAUAUUAUGUUUCAAUACUUAAGUAGUUAAUUGUUUGAUUAUUCAAAUACAUAUUCGAAUUUUGAAUCCAAGAUUCAUAUAUUUUGAAUAUUUUGGACAUAUAAUAAGAGCCCUGCUAAUAUUCGAAUAUUUGAAUCUAAAUUAAAUAAAUUGAAUGAAAUUAAUAUAUAAGGUUAAUGUGCAAAGUUUGAUAUAUUACAUAUAAAUUAUAUAUAUAAAUUUGCAUAUAAUUAUGCAUUUAAUAAAUAAAUCUCA